rnacentral:rRNA from 1 species
UACAGAGGGUGCGAGCGUUAAUCGGAAUUACUGGGCGUAAAGCGCGCGUAGGCGGCUUUGCAAGUCGGGUGUGAAAUCCCCAGGCUUAACCUGGGAACUGCAUUCGAGACUGCAUUGCUAGAGUAUGGGAGAGGGAAGUGGAAUUUCCGGUGUAGCGGUGAAAUGCGUAGAUAUCGGAAGGAACAUCAGUGGCGAAAGCGACAUCCUGGACCAAUACUGACGCUCAUGUGCGAAAGCGUGGGGAGCAAACAGG